UAACAUGUGUGCGAGUCAUUGGGCGAACUAAACCCAAAGGCGCAAUGAGAGUAAAGGCCAGCUCUAAGCAGGCUGAGGGCCGAUCCCUUCGGGGCGCAGGCUCGGGACUUGCAUGCCCCAUCGUGGGCGGUGAGUACCCAGAGCAUACAUGUUGGGACCCGAAAGAUGGUGAACUAUGCCUGGCCAGGAUGAAGCCAGAGGAAACUCUGGUGGAAGUCCGUAGCGAUUCUGACGUGCAAAUCGAUCGUCGGAGCUGGGUAUAGGGGCGAAAGACUAAUCGAACCAUCUAGUAGCUGGUUCCCUCCGAAGUUUCCCUCAGGAUAGCUGGUGCUCGUCACGGAGUUUCAUCCCGGUAAAGCGAAUGAUUAGAGGCCUUGGGGGACGAAACGUCCUCAACCUAUUCUCAAACUUUAAAUGGGGUGAGAAGUCGGGCUUGUUGGAGUUGAAGCCCCGGCAUUCGAAUCCGACACCUAAUGGGCCAUUUUUGGUAAGCAGAACUGGCGCUGUGGGGAUGAACCAAACGUCGAGUUAAGGGGCCUAAACGACGCUUAUCAAAUCCCAUGAAAGGUGGUUGGUGCUAUAACAGCAGGACCGGGGGCCUGGAA
rnacentral:rRNA from 1 species